ensembl:lncRNA
GGGACUUGCUGAAGGUCAAACAGCUAGUAACUGGCAGAAUCAGGAUUUGGACCCAAAUCUCUGCACUGCCUCUGUCAAGCCCCACUGAAGGAGGGCAGCUGCGUGGCUGUGAGAGCCACAGGAACAGUGGAAAUGACCGUUUUUAAUUCACUCAAUGUGAGUUAGAAUGGCCGUCGUGCUAUUGAACCCUGGGCCCCUAAAGCCGCUAGUCAUUGUCAUAAUUUGUAGCAUGAGUGUCAGUGGUUGUGCUGUUGCUCCUACCAUGACCUUGACUAUGGGCGAUUACUCUGCUCCGGCUUUAGGUGGGAGCUCUCACGCCCCCCUCGGCACAAGCAGAAGCACAAGCAGCAGAGAUGUGAUUAUCUCUGUUUUACAGUUGGGGAAACUGAGGCACAAAAAAGUCCAGUAAGCUGCCCAUGACCGCACAGUUAGGAAGUAGUGGAGCACAUCAGAGUACAAUGCAGACGGAGCCACAGCGGCUGGGGAGCACAGCCCACCGAGCAGAGCCCAUCCGCCCACCAGAGGCUCUCACGACCGACUGAAACCCGCCUCCUUCUGACGGGCCAUUGGGGGCUAAGCUGAGGCCCAGCUUGGCGCCCCUUCCCUCUCUGCGGCCUGGUUCUGAGGAAAGAUCACUUUCCUCAGAAUCCCCACCCAGUCUCCAGAAGACAAAGGCUUCCAGAGCCCCACAGAACCUUGGCGAUGGGAAGUGGAUUUCUCCCAUCUUCUGCUUUCAGCCAAGUAACAUUUACCUAAGGCCACUUAACACAUGAUAAUAAUUAUAUCACCGCUUUGGAGCUGGGAAGCAUGAGAGUCCAGCAUCCAGUUGGUCAGACAGGCAGAAGAGGCCUGGAAAAGGAUGGGAGAGUGGGAAAAGUUCCCUCUGGUGACCCCUGGGCAAAGCCAACAAGAAAUUCACUUCUCUGUCCUGUUUCCCGGCUCCUUCCACGGGAGGCCAGCUAGCAUUGUGCUUAGGAGCCAGGAGGCCCAGAUGGAACUCCAGUCCAGCCGCUGUGCGACCAUGUUAAUAACAUCUCCUUCUGAGGUGAAAAUGGCAUUAUGCACGACAGAGCCUAAGCAGAGCCUGCCUUGAAAUCAGCAAAUCCCAUUUCCAGUUUCCCCUGGGUGCACAGACGGACUAUCUCCCAGCAUCCCUCGCAGUAAGGUGUGACCACGUGACUGAGCUCUGGCCAGUGAAAGGGACAAGAGGUGUCCUCACUUCCAGACGGCGCCCAGAGAGCCUCACGGGGAGCUCAGCCCCUCCCAGCCUGCCAGUCGGGUGGAGUGGAGCUGGCUUCCUCCUCUGUAAAAGAGAGGUGAUGGGAUCAGGUGCCUACUGCAGCGGGAUGCCUGGAGGAGUGAAGCACGGAAAGCUUAGAAGGGUGCGCGGCACCUGGUGAACACCAUGACGUGUAAGCUAUUGCUAUUACUCUCUCCACCUCAGCGAGGAGUCAGGCGUAGGCCCUCCCACCUCCACCCCACCCAGCCUUUCCCUCAGACCCAGCACCUCCGCAAGAUGAGGGAUGUGAGUGUUUGUGGCCGGCUUGGCUUCACAGGAAAGGCAACGCAAGCGGACGGCGGUUAGGAGCUCAGGCAGACAGACCCGGGCCCAAACUCUUGUGGCCCUGAGCCAAUUAACCUUGUCUUCUUUAAAAAGGAGAUGAUAGACCCUACCUACUAAGAUGGUGAGAACUGCUGAAGAUGAGUCUCUAAAUGAGUGGUUCUUGAAGAGUCGUCCCCAGUGUCAGCAGCAGCAGCAUCACCUGGGAGCUUGUUAGAAAGGCAACAAUUCUGGGGCUCCACUCUAGAUCCGCUGACUCAGACACUCGGGUGCGCCCAGCAAUCUGUUUUAACAGGCCUGCCAGGUGACUGAUGCACACUCAAGUGUGAGAACAGAAAGGGCUCACCACUGUGCCUGUCAUGCGAUAAAGCCCUCCUAAGCACGGGAUUUGCGUCUUUGGGGGGUGAACUGUACCCAGUGAACCUGUGCGGCGCAGCCUCCCAUCUCAUCCACAGGUUGGGUUGCUCAAGAAAUAUACCAGUUUUUAAAAAUUCUCUGUAACCCACCGAAUCUCCGACUCUUGCCCUCCACUUUGCUGUGCCAGCAUAAAGUAAACUCCCGUCCUUCUCGGCGUCCCCUCUCCUUUCUGGGGUUGGGCCUCGGUUCGUGGGUUUUACACAGUGCCCAGUGGAGACAGUUUCAGCAGGUGUGAGUCAUCGGUCCACACUGUUGCUUUUGGAACAGGCUUGGGACCCAGAGAAUUCCCUGAAGCUGCCUCUGCCACCAUCAGCCACAGCUCAAGAACUCAGAUGCCCACAGGGGCCGGACCAGUCAGGGAAGGAACCAAGUGGACUGGCUGUGACCCAGCAGCAAGAAGUGGGGGCCAUGGGGCCAGAGCAAGUGCAUGCCAGGGCCCACGGCUGCAGCCUCACGGGAGGGCAGGCCCAGGCCUGCCAGAUCUCUGUUUCAAGACAGGCUGCACAACUGGAUCCAAA